rnacentral:rRNA from 1 species
GCGGUUAUACGAGAGACCCAAGUUGAUGCACGUCGGCGUAAAGCGUGGUUAAGGAAAAACUAAAACUAAAGCCGAACACAUGCAAGACCGUUAUACGUAUUCGAAAACAAGAAGUCCAGUUACGAAAGUAGCUUUACACCCCCUGAACCCACGAAAGCUAAGAUA